rnacentral:rRNA from 1 species
UACGUAGGGUGCAAGCGUUAAUCGGAAUUACUGGGCGUAAAGCGUACGCAGGCGGCUUUGCAAGACAGGUGUGAAAUCCCCGGGCCUAACCUGGGAACUGCAUUUGUGACUGCAUAGCUAGAGUCCGUCAGAGGGGGGUGGAAUUCCACGUGUAGCAGUGAAAUGCGUAGAGAUGUGGAGGAACACCGAUGGCGAAGGCAGCCCCCUGGGAUGAGACUGACGCUCAUGUACGAAAGCGUGGGGAGCAAACAGG